rnacentral:rRNA from 1 species
UCCUACGGGAGGCAGCAGUGGGGAAUAUUGCGCGAUGGGGGGAACCCUGACGCAGCCAUGCCGCGUGAAUGAAGAAGGCCUUCGGGUUGUAAAGUUCUUUCGGUAAUGAGGAAGGGAUGUUGUUAAAUAGAUAGCAUCAUUGACGUUAAUUACAGAAGAAGCACCGGCUAACUCCGUGCCAGCAGCCGCGGUAAUACGGAGGGUGCGAGCGUUAAUCGGAAUAACUGGGCGUAAAGGGCACGCAGGCGGAUUGUUAAGUGAGAUGUGAAAGCCCCGAGCUUAACUUGGGAAUUGCAUUUCAGACUGGCAGUCUAGAGUAUUUUAGGGAGGGGUAGAAUUCCACGUGUAGCGGUGAAAUGCGUAGAGAUGUGGAGGAAUACCGAAGGCGAAGGCAGCCCCUUGGGAAUAUACUGACGCUCAUGUGCGAAAGCGUGGGGAGCAAACAGGAUUAGAUACCCUGGUAGUCC